CUAAGACGUUGCUCAUCUACGAGUCACUGGAGAUGGAAUACGGGACCCUGGGCUGAACUUGCCUUGUGGCGCCCUUCCUGAACGCAGGGCUUCACUCCAUCGCGGUUCUCGUGCUGUAAUUGGCUGAUGUGGUUGUGUGCGGCUGCCAUAGCACAAGGAAUGGUUGGUCCAGCCCUGCACACAAGCAUCCGGCCUGGAUUGGAGCUCUUCCCAGAAAUUGAUCUGGUGACGUUUUCCAGCUGACGUUGGCAUCAUCAGCACUGACCCUAAGAUAUCUGGGAGCCGCAAAAGCCGCCAUCAGAGAAGCCAACGAUCCCUUGAUGUUGAAUGUUGUUCAGUACUGUUGUUGCUCUCAUGCUGAUCCCUCGAAAUUUCUGUCCGUGAAGCCAGCAGCAGCCGCAUCUUCUUCACCUCGGGAAGUUUCGUGCAGACCGUCACCGUCUAAGACCAGUGGCGCAACGACACUUACUCUCACACAGCACUGCUAAGAAUAUGCUGGAUCCCACCAUGCGCUCACGAUGUGGUGGAACGCAUCACUCACCCUGCACACAGCUCUCGGUAAGUUCAGACGGUCGAGUCGGGUCUCCUCACAUUCCCAGGCGAGGGACGCAAACUCAGACCUAAGACGGGUUUCCUCUUGCUCGAUGAGGACACAGCAAGGUGAAGUGGCACGCAGGUCGCUAAAUAUCUCUUUUUAAUCGCAAAAGUCUUCCCU
rnacentral:lncRNA from 1 species